rnacentral:rRNA from 1 species
GAUGAACGCUGGCGGCGUGCCUAAUACAUGCAAGUCGAGCGAAUGGAUUAAGAGCUUGCUCUUAUGAAGUUAGCGGCGGACGGGUGAGUAACACGUGGGUAACCUGCCCAUAAGACUGGGAUAACUCCGGGAAACCGGGGCUACUACCGGAUAACAUUUUUAACCGCAUGGUUCGAAAUUGAAGGGCGGCUUCGGCUGUCACUGAUGGAUGGACCCGCGUCGCAUUAGCUAGUUGGUGAGGUAACGGCUCACCAAGGCAACGAUGCGUAGCCGACCUGAGAGGGUGAUCGGCCACACUGGGACUGAGACACGGCCCAGACUCCUACGGGAGGCAGCAGUAGGGAAUCUUCCGCAAUGGACGAAAGUCUGACGGAGCAACGCCGCGUGAGUGAUGAAGGCUUUCGGGUCGUAAAACUCUGUUGUUAGGGAAGAACAAGUGCUAGUUGAAUAAGCUGGCACCUUGACGGUACCUAACCAGAAAGCCACGGCUAACUACGUGCCAGCAGCCGCAGUAA